rnacentral:rRNA from 1 species
CCUACGGGGGGCAGCAGUGGGGAAUAUUGCACAAUGGGGGAAACCCUGAUGCAGCGACGCAGCGUGAGUGAAGAAGUAUCUCGGUAUGUAAAGCUCUAUCAGCAGGGAAGAAAAUGACGGUACCUGAUUCAGAAGCCCCGGCUAACUACGUGCCAGCAGCCGCGGUAAUACGUAGGGUGCAAGCGUUAUCCGGAUUUACUGGGUGUAAAGGGAGCGUAGACGGCAGCACAAGUCUGGAGUGAAAUGCCGGGGCUUAACCCCGGAACUGCUUUGGAAACUGUGAAGCUAGAGUGCAGGAGAGGUAAGUGGAAUUCGUAGUGUAGCGGUGAAAUGCGUAGAUAUUAGGAGGAACACCGAUGGCGAAGGCAGCUUACUAAACUGUAACUGACGUUGAGGCUCGAAAGCGUGGGGAGCAAACAGGAUUAGAUACCCGAGUAGUC